ACCAAGCGUUAACAUUGCGUGUGCACUUUGGUUUGUAGGCCCACCUUUUUUUCCAUCUCACUCCUUUCUUCGGACGUGCACCCUCAGUUCACCGCAAUUCAACACCACGCUGGACGGACUGUUGGUGCAGUUGAUGCGGCGUGAACGGACACGAAGGAGCGCUCGCCUCGGAAGGGAUGUCACAAUUUCCUGAGACGGAGGCAUCUCUGCACCACAUAGGCUGCGGCACUAUGCAGCUUGAACAGCACGACAAAGCAUCUGAUCUGCCUGCUUUGACAAGUGUGGCUGGGCCUGCAGAAAGAGUAAGCAGACUACUGUGUUGCUGAUCAGUGCUGAUCUCCACGUCCGAGCUGGUCCCACAACAUCCAGGCACCACUGUGCUUUGCUUCAUUGACAAGGUAAUAUGAUAUAGACACCUUGCACCUCAGUAUCAGUUUUGAGAAAUAUGCUAAGACACAAGGGUUGGCCUUGGUGAUAAAUACACUCGUGUUCUUUUUUUAAGCGUU